CGGAGGAUCCAAGCGUUAUCCGGAUUUAUUGGGUUUAAAGGGUGCGUAGGUGGAAAUAUAAGUCAGAGGUGAAAGCUAGCAGCUUAACUGUUAAAUUGCCUUUGAUACUGUUUUUCUUGAGUAUAGUUGGAGUUGGCGGAAUGUGACAUGUAGCGGUGAAAUGCGUAGAUAUGUCACAGAACACCGAUCGCGAAGGCAGCUAACUAAACUAUCACUGACACUGAUGCACGAAAGCGUGGGGAGCAAACAGGAUUAGAUACCCUGGUAGUCCACGCCGUAAACGAUGAUAACUCGACGUUGGCAAUAUACCGUUCAGCGUCCAAGCGAAAGCGUUAAGUUAUCCACCUGGGGAGUACGAUCGCAAGGUUG
rnacentral:rRNA from 1 species